UUUAAAUGAGAAUUUUGGACUAUU
rnacentral:miRNA from 1 species